UGUAUGUCACAAGUUGAUCUGGCUGUAGGCUGUGGCACUUGGCCAGAGGUGGCGCUGGUUGAUUCGAGUCCAUGUUAGUGCACACAAAGUAAACUGCACGCUUUAGUUGUGAAGCAAAAACGAUGAAAUCGGAGUAAUAAAACGUGCGAGGGGGACGAUAACGACGACAAGAGUCUCCCGAUCGUUUACUCUUGCUGUCCUGUGAACAACAUCGGCGUGGUGUUAACUGUUUGCUGUUUUUGCGAUCGCGUCGCGCAUGAGAAUAUCACCAGCAGCUCCUGAAACGCAAGUCUGCCACACAUCUGUUCGACCAAAUCCAGUUAAUCUAAGCGCCAGUUAAUCUGGAACACCGGCACGCAAGGCGAGUGCAACGAAAGCGAAAAAGAGCACCCAUCGGAGCUGCAGAGUAUGAAAGUGUGCCCCGUGCAGAAGUAAUAGAUGAAGAUCUGACAUCAUAUCAUGUGAGGGUGAAGACACAACACUGCUUGAUAAGAAUGUGAAGGUGUGCUGUGUUUUGGUGAAUAUGUGCCCUAGUGUGGUUGUCAAACCAGGGCCAAAUGAAACUUGCUCUUGUUGAAUAUUC